UACGUAGGGGGCAAGCGUUAUCCGGAUUUACUGGGUGUAAAGGGAGCGUAGACGGCAGGGCAAGUCUGAUGUGAAAGGUCGGGGCCCAACCCCGGGACUGCAUUGGAAACUGUCCGGCUGGAGUACAGGAGAGGUAAGUGGAAUUCCUAGUGUAGCGGUGAAAUGCGUAGAUAUUAGGAGGAACACCGGUGGCGAAGGCGGCUUACUGGACUGUAACUGACGUUGAGGCUCGAAAGCGUGGGGAGCAAACAGG
rnacentral:rRNA from 1 species